rnacentral:rRNA from 1 species
UUAAAUUGAAGAGUUUGAUCAUGGCUCAGAUUGAACGCUGGCGGCAGGCCUAACACAUGCAAGUCGAACGGUGACAGGAAGCAGCUUGCUGCUUUG